UAACAAGGAUUCCCCUAGUAACUGCGAGUGAAGCGGGAAAAGCUCAAAUUUAAAAUCUGACAGUUUCACUGUCCGAGUUGUAAUCUGGAGAAGCAUUUUCCGUGUCGGACCGUGUACAAGUCUCUUGGAAUAGAGCGUCAUAGAGGGUGAGAAUCCCGUCCAUGACACGGACUACCGAUGCUUUGUGAUAUGCUCUCGAAGAGUCGAGUUGUUUGGGAAUGCAGCUCAAAAUGGGUGGUAAAUUCCAUCUAAAGCUAAAUAUUGGCGAGAGACCGAUAGCGAACAAGUACCGUGAGGGAAAGAUGAAAAGCACUUUGGAAAGAGAGUUAAACAGUACGUGAAAUUGUUGAAAGGGAAACGCUUGAAGUCAGUCGCGUUGAUUGAGACUCAGCCUUGCUUUGCAUGGUGUACUUCUCAGUUAACGGGUCAACAUCAAUUUCAGUUGGUGGAUAAAGGCAUUGGGAAUGUGGCACCUUCGGGUGUGUUAUAGACCUUUGUUGCAUACACUGACCGGGAUUGAGGAACGCAGCACGCCACUAAGGCCAGGGAUUCGUCCCAUGUAACGUGCUUAGGAUGUUGGCAUAAUGGCUUUAAGCGAC
rnacentral:rRNA from 1 species